UUUACAAUAUCCUAGAGAAGUUUUCGAAUAUUGUGAUCAUUAUAGGCUGGAUUUGGAUUGGUUAUGUUAGGUUACCUAACCUAACCUUGUCUAGUGAUGUUGAUUAGAUUAUAAAGGUAAAAAAUACCAGUACAAGGCAUAGAUUUUCAGGUAAAGUUCAACCUCAUCGUAAUUUUGUUUUAAUUCAAUUGUAUUGAUAUAACACGUCAUAUAAAUAAGUUGGUAAAUUAUAUUGUUACACACCUUAACUUUAAAGAAUUAUCUAAAUGCAUUUACCUAU